rnacentral:ribozyme from 1 species
CCCAACCGUUGCUGUUACCUUGACGUGGUGGUCGAGCUUACUUAUCGUGAUAAGCCAACCGGGCUAUAAUGGCUGGAACAAUCGUUCCUCGAGGUCCUACCAUGCCAGGCAGGUCUGUCGAAGAGCGGUAAGACCAAAAUCAAC